GUGGAUGUGCUUAGGAGUGGUUAUCGGGCAUGACUAGAAAUCAUAUGGGUUCUACCCGCGUAGGUUCGAAUCCUGCCAUUCACG
rnacentral:tRNA from 1 species